UACGAAGGGGGGCUAGCGUUGCUCGGAAUCACUGGGCGUAAAGCGCACGUAGGCGGACUCUUAAGUCGGUGGUGAAAUCCUGGAGCUCAACUCCAGAACUGCCUUCGAUACUGGGAGUCUCGAGUCCGAGAGAGGUGAGUGGAACUGCGAGUGUAGAGGUGAAAUUCGUAGAUAUUCGCAAGAACACCAGUGGCGAAGGCGGCUCACUGGCUCGGUACUGACGCUGAGGUGCGAAAGCGUGGG
rnacentral:rRNA from 1 species